UCCGGAUGGGUUAUAGUCAGCCCCUCUGCUGUUGAUUCUCUUCCAGUGUAAAUUUCAUUAGCGGACCCACAGGAGAGCUGGGGCUCCCUGUGACUUCUGGAGAGGGAGAUAGGAAGAAUUCUGGAGUCCGGGGCUGGAAGUUAUUCAUAGGUUGGUGUCCUGGAGCUGACCUCGCUGGAACGUAUGCCUCUGGCGAAGAGCCAGUUCCAGAUGCAUACCAGCAAAAGAAACAAUCCAGAAAACAUCAAAAGGAAGAUCUCAUUCUGCUAUAAGAGGUAAUAAUGCAAGGAGCCAUAAAAGUUUUCCUGGUUUAUCAAUCAGUCUCUGAUGCUUGAUAAUCAAGCUGUAAAAGUUUAUAUAUUCCUAUGUAAGAAGACACAUCUGACAUAUUAGUGAAAGGAAGUUGAGUCCAUUCAGUGACACACAAAAACACAGUUGACUAGGUUCCAAAGAACUUUUAA